GCCCGGUUAGCUCAGUCGGUAGAGCAUUCGACUUUUACAAGUUUGCGUUAGGAAUUCCUCUUGCACAUCGAAUUGUCGGGGGUUCGAGCCCCCCAUUGGGCG